rnacentral:lncRNA from 1 species
UUUCAGUUCCACGCGUAGCAAACACGCCAAAGAAACACGAAGAAAAGCAGACAAGCGUGUGAAAAGUCCUUGACUUCAAAUGGACUGGGAAAGACUCGGCUUCCUUCCUCGGGGAAGAGGCCAUCAUCCACCCUCCAUGCUGAAACAGCGGUGCCCCUGAACGGCCAGCCGGUGAUGGCCGUAUGACAGAAUUGAUCAACAGGUCUGCGUUUUUUUUGCAGGGGUCAGCGAAGUCACCUACAUUAAGUGGAAUCCUUGAUUUCCUCUUCUGGCGACUGUGAGUCUACUUCACUGUUCUAGUGGAACACUAGUGAAAAUACGAGGGAACGGUGUGGACAAGAGCAUUUCCUCGGAGGAACGCACAUUUGCUUGCACCGGUCCAUGAAAAUCCGCUCCGCUGUCGAGGACGCCUGGAAAUGUUUUGGAAUGCUGGUGCUCUGUAUGUACAGGGAACAGGGCAACGGGAAAAAGUUUACCCAAACCGAUCGAAAGUUGUGAUGUACGUGUCGCUUUAUAUACAUGUAGUAGUGCUUGUGGAGUUCGUUGCAUCGAGUUCGCUCCCUGCGCACUUUGGACAAGACCAAACAAGUUCACGACUGGUACUAGGAAAUGGAAUAUCG